rnacentral:rRNA from 1 species
AGAGCAUGACCAGCCAGAAUGGAACUGAGACACGGUCCAUACUCCUACGGGAGGCAGCAGUAAGGGAUAUUCCACAAUGGGCGAAAGCCUGAUGGAGCGACACCGCGUGGAGGACGACACCUUUCGGGGCGUAAACUCCUUUUCUGAGUGAAUAAGUUCUGAAAUUAACUCAGGAAUAAGUGACGGCUAACUACGUGCCAGCAGCCGCGGUAAUACGUAGGUCGCGAGCGUUAACCGGAAUUAUUGGGCGUAAAGGGUCCGUAGCCGGAAAAGAAAGUCUGAUGUUAAAACACGGUGCUCAACACCGUGAUCGUAUUAGAAACUUCUUAUCUAGAGUUAUUCAGAGGUGCGUGGAAUUUCUUGUGUAGGGGUAAAAUCCGUAGAUACAAGAAGGAACACCAAAAGCGAAGGCAGCGCACUGGGGAUAUACUGACGGUCAGGGACGAAAGCGUGGGGAGCAAAGAGGAUUAGAUACCCUCGUAGUCCACGCCCUAAACGAUGGAUACUCGAUGUUCGGAAGAUUCGACCCUUCUGAGUGUCUAAGCUAACGCGUUAAGUAUCCCGCCUGGGGACUACGGUCGCAAGGACUUAAACUCAAAGGAAUAGACGGGGGCCCACACAAGCGGUGGAGCAUGGGGUUUAAUUCGAUAAUACACGGGGAACCUUACCUGGGCUUGACAUCCCGAGAAUCCUUCAGAGACGAAGGAGUGCCGCAAGGAACUCGGUGACAGGUGCUGCAUGGUUGUCGUCAGCUCGUGCCUUGAGGUGUGCGGUUAAGUCCGUAAACGAGCGCAACCCUUGUCGUAUGUUAUAUUUUUCAUGCGAGACUGCCUGGUACAACCAGGAGGAAGGUAAGGAUGACGUCAAAUCAGCAUGGCCCUUAUGUCCAGGGCUACACCUGUGCUACAAUGGUUGGUACAAAAGGUAGCGAAGUCGCAAGAUGGAGCCAAUCCCAAAAACCAAUCUCAGUUCGGAUUGCAGGCUGAAACUCGCCUGCAUGAAGUUGGAAUCGCUAGUAACCGUAUAUCAGAUAUGAUACGGUGAAUAUGUUCCUGGGCCUUGUACUCACCGCCCGUCAAGUCAUGGAAGAAGGUAAUACCCGACGGGGUUUUAGUCCAGAAGGGACGAAUCACUACGGUAGGAU